UUCGGGUCCGGGGAAAGCGGCGAACGGGUGAGUAACACGUGGGUAAUCUGCCCUCGGUACUGGGAUAGCCCGGGGAAACCCGGAUUAAUACCGGAUGGCCUUUCGAGCUCUCGGGCUCGUUAGAAAAGGUGGCUUCGGCUUCCGACUGAGGAUGAGCCCGCGGCGGAUUAGCUUGUUGGUGAGGUAAUGGCUCACCAAGGCUCCGAUCCGUAGCUGGUCUGAGAGGACGAUCAGCCACACUGGGACUGAGACACGGCCCAGACUCCUACGGGAGGCAGCAGUAGGGAAUCUUGCGCAAUGGGCGAAAGCCUGACGCAGCGACGCCGCGUGCGGGAAGAAGGCCUUCGGGUUGUAAACCGCUUUCAGGAGGGACGAAGCCACUCGGGCUAAUACCCCAGAGGGUGACGGUACCUCCAGAAGAAGCCCCGGCUAACUACGUGCCAGCAGCCGCGGUAAUACGUAGGGGGCAAGCGUUGUCCGGAUUUAUUGGGCGUAAAGAGCGUGUAGGCGGCCAGACAGGUCAACUGUGAAAACUCGAGGCUCAACCUCGAGAUGUCGGCUGAAACCAUCUGGCUAGAGUCCGGAAGAGGAGAAUGGAAUUCCCGGUGUAGCGGUGAAAUGCGCAGAUAUCGGGAAGAACACCCGUGGCGAAGGCGGUUCUCUGGGACGGUACUGACGCUGAGACGCGAAAGCGUGGGGAGCGAACAGGAUUAGAUACCCUGGUAGUCCACGCCGUAAACGAUGGGUGCUAGGUGUGGGCGGUG
rnacentral:rRNA from 1 species